GGCCGGCUGGCCCAAUUGGUUAAGGCGUCUGACUACGAUUCCGUAUUCAUCAGGAGAUUCCAGGUUCGAGUCCUGGGUCGGUCA